rnacentral:tRNA from 2 species
CGGUGAGUAGCGCAGCAUGGGAGCGCAACUGGUUUGGGACCAGUAGGUCGUGGGUUCAAAUCCCUCCUCACCGACCA